GACCCUAUAGAAUUUUAUAUUUUUAUUUAAAAAUUUAUUAGUGUUUAAAAUUUUUUAAAGAAGAAAUAUUUAGUUGGGGUGAUUGAAAAAUUAAAAAAACUUUUUUUUUAUUUUAACACUAAUAAGUGAAUUUUUGAUCCUAAAGUUUAGAUUAUAAGAUAAAAUUACCUUAGGGAUAACAGCGUAAUAUUUUUUAAGAGUUCUAAUCGAAAAAAAUGUUUGCGACCUCGAUGUUGGAUUAAAAUUAAGGUUUGGUGUAGAAGCUAAACGAUUAGGUCUGUUCGACCUUUAAAAUUUUACAUGAUCUGA
rnacentral:rRNA from 1 species